CAAAGUGGGGGACCUUCGGGCCUCAUGCCAUCAGAUGUGCCCAGAUGGGAUUAGCUAGUAGGUGGGGUAACGGCUCACCUAGGCGACGAUCCCUAGCUGGUCUGAGAGGAUGACCAGCCACACUGGAACUGAGACACGGUCCAGACUCCUACGGGAGGCAGCAGUGGGGAAUAUUGCACAAUGGGCGCAAGCCUGAUGCAGCCAUGCCGCGUGUGUGAAGAAGGCCUUCGGGUUGUAAAGCACUUUCAGCGGGGAGGAAGGCG
rnacentral:rRNA from 1 species